rnacentral:rRNA from 1 species
GAUGAACGCUGGCGGCGUGCCUAAUACAUGCAAGUAGAACGCUGAAGGAAGGAGCUUGCUCUUUCCGGAUGAGUUGCGAACGGGUGAGUAACGCGUAGGUAACCUGCCUGGUAGCGGGGGAUAACUAUUGGAAACGAUAGCUAAUACCGCAUAACAGUAGAUGUUGCAUGACAACUAUUUGAAAGGGGCAAUUGCUCCACUACCAGAUGGACCUGCGUUGUAUUAGCUAGUUGGUGAGGUAACGGCUCACCAAGGCGACGAUACAUAGCCGACCUGAGAGGGUGAUCGGCCACACUGGGACUGAGACACGGCCCAGACUCCUACGGGAGGCAGCAGUAGGGAAUCUUCGGCAAUGGACGGAAGUCUGACCGAGCAACGCCGCGUGAGUGAAGAAGGUUUUCGGAUCGUAAAGCUCUGUUGUAAGAGAAGAACGAGUGUGAGAGUGGAAAGUUCACACUGUGACGGUAGCUUACCAGAAAGGGACGGCUAACUACGUG